GGGCCAUUAGCUCAGCUGGUAGAGCGACUGACUCUUAAUCAGUAGGUCGUGGGUUCGAUCCCCGCAUGGCCCACCA
rnacentral:tRNA from 3 species